GUCCACGCUGUAAACGAUGUCUACUGGCCGUUGGCCUCCUUGAGGGGUUAGUGGCGCAGCUAACGCGAUAAGUAGACCGCCUGGGGAGUACGGCCGCAAGGUUAAAACUCAAAUGAAUUGACGGGGGCCCGCACAAGCGGUGGAGCAUGUGGUUUAAUUCGACGCAACGCGAAGAACCUUACCUACUCUUGACAUCCUGCGAAGCCUGUAGAGAUAUGGGUGUGCCUUCGGGAGCGCAGAGACAGGUGCUGCAUGGCUGUCGU
rnacentral:rRNA from 1 species